GACGAACGCUGGCGGCGUGCUUAACACAUGCAAGUCGAACGCUGAAGCUUGGUGCUUGCACUGGGUGGAUGAGUGGCGAACGGGUGAGUAAUACGUGAGUAACCUGCCCUUGACUCUGGGAUAAGCCUGGGAAACUGGGUCUAAUACUGGAUACGACAUGUCACCGCAUGGUGGUGUGUGGAAAGGGUUUUACUGGUUUUGGAUGGGCUCACGGCCUAUCAGCUUGUUGGUGGGGUAAUGGCUCACCAAGGCGACGACGGGUAGCCGGCCUGAGAGGGUGAACGGGCACACUGGGACUGAGACACGGCGCAGACUCCUACGGUAGGCAGCGGUGGGGAAUAUUGCACAAUGGGCGGAAGCCUGAUGCAGCGACGCCGCGUGAGGGAUGACGGCCUUCGGGGUGUAAACCUCUUUCAGCACGGAAGAAGCGAAAGUGACGGUACGCGCAGAAGAAGCGCCGGCUAACUACGUG
rnacentral:rRNA from 1 species